rnacentral:rRNA from 1 species
AGGAUCAUUAUUGAAUUAGCGAGGGCUGUCUGCUGGCCCCUUNGGGGGCAUGUGCACGUCCGAGCCGUUUAAAUCAACACCUGUGAACUCACCGUAGGCCUUCGGGCUUAUGUAUCAUAAUAUACUCAGAUCAUAGAAUGUACGUUUUGCCUUUAAAAAAGCAAUCAAAUACAACUUUCAACAACGGAUCUCUUGGCUCUCGCAUCGAUGAAGAACGCAGCGAAAUGCGAUAAGUAAUGUGAAUUGCAGAUUUUCAGUGAAUCAUCGAAUCUUUGAACGCACCUUGCGCUCCUUGGUAUUCCGAGGAGCAUGCCUGUUUGAGUGUCAUUAAAUCCUCAACCCCGUCGGUCGGUCGGGGCUUGGACUUUGGAGCGUGCUGGCGAAGGUCGGCUCCUCUUUAAAUGCAUCAGCGGAGAAAAACCUUUUUUUCCCCCUUCAGCGUGAUAACUGUGUUGCGCUGUGGUCGUGAAAGGGGUCCGCUCAUAAUUGUCCUCUGGGACAAACACCAAAUCUGUUUUGACCUCAGAUCAGGUAGGACUACCCGCUGAACUUAAGCAUAUCAAUAAGCGGAGGAAAAGAAACUAACAAGGAUUCCCCUAGUAACUGCGAGUGAAGCGGGAAAAGCUCAAAUUUAAAAUCUGGCGGUCCUCUGGCCGUCCGAGUUGUAAUCUGGAGAAGCGUUUUCCGCGUCGGACCGUGUACAAGUCUUCUGGAACGGAGCGUCAUAGAGGGUGAGAAUCCCGUCUCUGACACGGACCGCCGACGCUUCAUGUGAUACGCUCUCGAAGAGUCGAGUUGUUUGGGAAUGCAGCUCAAAAUGGGUAGUAAAUUCCAUCUAAAGCUAAAUACUGGCGAGAGACCGAUAGCGAACAAGUACCGUGAGGGAAAGAUGAAAAGCACUUUGGAAAGAGAGUUAAACAGUACGUGAAAUUGUUGAAAGGGAAACGUUUGAAGUCAGUCGCGUCGGCCGGGACUCAGCCUUGCUAUCUUGCUUGGUGCACUUCUCGGUCGACGGGUCAGCAUCAAUUUUGACCGUCGGAUAAAGGCCGAGGGAACGUGGCAUCCUCCGGGGUGUGUUAUAGCCCUUGGUUCGCAUACGGCGAUCGGGAUUGAGGAACUCAGCGCGCCUUCAUUGGUCGGGGCUUCGCGGCUCACGUAACGCGCUUA